GCAAAUUAGUCAACGGCACGAUGAAAUCAUUCGAAAAUGUGGAUACAGUGUAAAUCUCGUACAAUUCUAGAUCCCAUUCACUAGUGUCGCAUGUAGCCUAGCCUAGAUUAUACGUAAAUCUACGUUGACGAUAGAAAAAUAUUAACCAGCAAUGAAUAUAAUAUAUGAAAUCCUAUUUUCCCGUUUCGUGCAGGCUAUGCAAGCAGAACAAGAGUAUCUUGCAGGGCAGAUGUCACAGAGUCUCCAGACUGGAGCGACCUCCCCACGGCACCUUCUGCUUUUCCUCGCCACUAUCAAAGCCCGUGGAGUGGUGGAGUGCAGUGGUUCUGCACUCAUCAAUCAUCCUGGAGGGAGUGGAAUGGCAGCAGAGGGCGGGCCACCAUUGUGACUUGUAAUAUCACUGGUAGAACAUAGAUAGACCAUUGUACAGAUAAAGACACUUUUUUUAUCUUGCCUGGUUGGACUGGCAUGACCAGAGGUGGGGGAAGGGGACAUUACUUAUCCCCGCAAAGUUUCAACUAGAGUCAUUACACUCAUAAGCUUGGGGUCUAGCAUUUAUAUAUCUGCUCUAUUCUUUCCUCUCUCUUUAAAUAAUUUAUUAGAAGACACAUUUGUUUCAGGAUUUCUUGCCCUACAUUCCAGGUUAAUGUUGUAGAUAGUUUAUUUUCAUGGACUCAGUGUGCUUCAUAGCACAAAGCACACUGAGCAGUUUCUUAACAAGGUCCUUCUCAAUUUCUGAGAGAACAGCUCAUGUAUAAGAGCAGCAGUAUAAUUAUUUUUUGAAACAUAGAACACGUUAUACUCUGUAAACUCUAGAUGGAUGAGAUAUAGUAGCUUCAGACCAAUUAACAAAUGACAAGUGGAGAGUGGCCAUGCUCCAGGGGGCAGAGAGGAACAAUCUAAUGUGUACAGUGUUUUGUGUGUAAUUGCCGGUCCUUUAUCAUCCCUGCCUGCAGAUGCAUGUUUCACAGGCCUCCUCUACACUUGAGUGCACUGGAGUUUAACAGCAUAUGGCCAACGACAGCAUAAGUGAUCUGUAGCUACAUUCAAUUAGACCCCUAUCACCACCGUCUCUGGUUAUGGCUCUUGGAAACAAGGAACGGCCACUGUGUGCAGAGCCCACUUCACGCUCUCAUCCAUGCUUUACAGUAUAUCUACAGCCUCCACUAUCCCAGCUAGUGGAGUGCUACUUUGGUGUGAAAAUGUAAGAAAAUGGGGAGUGAACAGACCUUUAGAAAUAGAGAUAGUUCCAUGACACUGUAAUGCCUUAGAGAACACCAAGGAUGGGGUUCUGUUGUGAGGAAAAGGACAAACAGAGGGGAGGACUUAGGAGGACGGACGGUCAUUCUGAAAUUAUUGCCUUCAGGAUAGCAACAUUUAUUUCAUGUAAUAAACAUUUUGUGUCCUUUGAAAUCAAAGCUAUCAUCACCAAUGUUAAAUAAUAAUGUGCAUUCUAUACUGUAUUGUACAUUAAUGAAUAUGUCUGUACUUUAAACAUCAAACAACGUAUUUGGAUUACUUGUCACAUACCUGUGUAGUGUGCUAACAAGGAAAAAGUAACCAAUGACAGAAGAUGUGAAACAUGAAAGAUAGUGUAGCAGUAAAUUUCUUCUGGAGAUUGGAGUUCAUAUACUUUUUCCCAGAGCAUGAAUUUUACAAAUGAAUGGUGCUGUAUAGCCAAUAUCUGGUGGUUUGUGUAAGGGGGAGUGAGUGAGGCUGUAGUUUGACUCAUGGUUCUUAUAAUCGUAACCACAAUAUUUUUCUAGCACCUUUGAUUGUGGUGCAUUGGUUAAGUUAUUCUCUGGAAUGUCUCAUGACCGUAUCAGUAGUGAAGGAACCUCAAUUUCUUUCUCUGGCGAUUCUUCCUCUAGUGGUUCCUCUGACGGUUGUAUUAUUGACUGUGUGUUUGUUUCUUCCAUGUGUAACUCUGUGUUGUUGUUUGUGUCGCACUGCUUUGCUUUAUAUUGGCCAGGUCGCAGUUGUAAAUGAGAACUUGUUCUCAACUAGCCUACCGGGUUAAAUAAAGGAAAAUUUGAAAAAAAAGGAAACCACCUGUACGCAAAUGAUUUUCGAUUAAAGAUUAAGCGGUAAUCAAAAAAGCAGACAUAUUUGUUUAAAUUCUUAUUUGUAUUUUUGUGUCAUGUAUAGUCGUGGCCAAAAGUUUUGAGAAUGACACAUUAAUUUUCACAAAGUCUGCUGCCUCAGUUUGUAUGAUGGCAAUUUGCAUAUACUCCAGAAUGUUAUGACGAGUGAUCAGAUGAAUUGCAAUUAAUUGCAAAGUCCCUCUUUGCCAUGCAAAUGAACUGAAUCCCCCCCAAAAACAUUUCCACUGCAUUUCAGCCCUGUCACAAAAGGACCAGCUGACAUCAUGUCAGUGAUUCUCUCGUUAACACAGGUGUGAGUGUUGACGAGGACAAGGCUGGAGAUCACUCUGCCAUGCUGAUUGAGUUUGAAUAACAGACUGGAAGCUUCAAAAGGAGGGUGGUGCUUGGAAUCAUUGUUCGUCCUCUGUCAACCAUGGUUACCUGCAAGGAAACAAAUGCCGUCAUCAGCACAAAAAAGGCUUCACAGUCAAGGAUAUUGCUGCCAGUAAGUUUGCACCUAGAACUUCAAGGAGAACGGUUCAAUUGUUGUGAAGAAGGCUUCAGGGCGCCCAAGAAAUUCCAGCAAGCGCAAGGACCAUCUCCUAAAGUUGAUUCAGCUGCGGGAUCG
rnacentral:lncRNA from 13 species